rnacentral:rRNA from 1 species
AAAAGUCGUAACAAGGUUUCCGUAGGUGAACCUGCGGAAGGAUCA